UACGUAGGCAGCGAGCGUUGUUCGGAGUUACUGGGCGUAAAGAGUGCGUAGGCGGUUUUCUAAGUUUGGUGUGAAAUCUCCCGCUUAACUGGGAGGGUGCGCCGAAAACUGGAAGGCUUGAGUAUGGGAGAGGUAAGCGGAAUUCCUGGUGUAGCGGUGAAAUGCGUAGAUAUGCGGAGGAACACCGAUGGCGAAGGCAAUCCCCUGGACCUGUACUGACGCUCAUGCACGAAAGCGUGGGGAGCAAACAGG
rnacentral:rRNA from 1 species